GAUGAACGCUGGCGGCGUGCUUAACACAUGCAAGUCGAACGGUGAAGGCGGAGCUUGCUCUGCUGGAUCAGUGGCGAACGGGUGAGUAACACGUGAGCAAUCUGCCCCUGACUCUGGGAUAAGCGCUGGAAACGGCGUCUAAUACUGGAUACGAGCUGCGAAGGCAUCUUCAGCAGCUGGAAAGAAUUUCGGUCAGGGAUGAGCUCGCGGCCUAUCAGCUUGUUGGUGAGGUAAUGGCUCACCAAGGCGUCGACGGGUAGCCGGCCUGAGAGGGUGACCGGCCACACUGGGACUGAGACACGGCCCAGACUCCUACGGGACGCAGCAGUGGGGAAUAUUGCACAAUGGGCGAGAGCCUGAUGCAGCAACGCCGCGUGAGGGACGACGGCCUUCGGGUUGUAAACCUCUUUUAGCAGGGAAGAAGCGAAAGUGACGGUACCUGCAGAAAAAGCGCCGGCUAACUACGUG
rnacentral:rRNA from 1 species